rnacentral:lncRNA from 1 species
GUUUCGUAUUUAUGCCUUAAAUGAGAUAAACCUCCAAGGACCAAGUUUCGUAAUUUGAUUUUUUAUAUUAUUAUUGAUGUUCCCCCAAUUUUUUUGCCUAAUAACCUCAAUUGCUUUAGCUGCCUUUGUCAGUGUUUGUAAUUCAUGUCGAGUUAGUAUCAACUUAGUUGUAUUCAAGUUCUAGCUAUAUAUUCUCGUGACCUUCCAUGUCAAGACUCCUUGAUUUUUCACAUGAUACAAGCCUAGUCACUAGUCUGGGGGGAUUUGUAACAGAACGAAAGCCCCAAGUUGAGAGUCCCAUCCGUUGUACUAAAAAAAAAAAUGUUGAACCCAAACCUUGAGAGCCCCUCACCGUCUCGCUCUUAGAGCUUUGUGAGGGAAGUAAAUCGCGAAAUGUGCUUCAGCAGGUUAGGGAACAAGAGCUGUCUGUAUACUGCGACUGUCAACAAUACGUGAAAUAAUCUCAUUCUUGUCCUUUGCAUCACUGUGCUAUGUCCGAGGGCAUCCCAUCCACAAUACUUGAUAGGGCUCCGUGGUGGUCAUGUGCUAAUGCUCCUUUUCCUUCGAUGCCCUCUAUCUGAAAGACAUGGCGUCUUUCAUGUUGAUGUGGAAGUAGGAGUUGAUCUUUUGCGCACCCUAUUUCAUUUUCUCGAGGUCAACUUGCACUAUAAAGACCUGG